rnacentral:lncRNA from 10 species
AGAACAGCCACGACAGAGGAUACAGUGAAGAUUCAAAAAACGGUGGUGAAUAUUGAAAAGGCGUUGGAGGACACAUAAUAGAAUGCAAAGUCCACAAGGAGAGGGGCUUUGUGUCUUGUUUCACACUGUGUCCCCAGGCUUAGAAUAUUCUGGCAUCAGAAGGCACUCAGUAAACAUAGAGAGGAAGAAAGGAAGAAGAUGAAAUCAGGAGUACAGAUUAAAGUGUUAUCUUUGGAAGACAGGCAAGACAUCCUUUGGGACAGAAGGGAAGGAGAGAAAGCUGGGGAACAUGCAGAUAAUACAAGAGGUGCGGUUUGUGACUGAUGGCUGCUAUUUUCUCUGUGAGACUGAAUCCAGACAACUUUGGACAUUCCUUCAUUUGAAGAAUUUUUACUGAACAAUUACAGACCAUUGAUUGAUACAGUGAAGAUCAGAAUGGCAUAGUUUUCCUGUCUUCAUGGAGAUGAAUGAAUGAACUGUAUUUUUUAUUAGCCUAAGCAUGAAUUCUUCCCAAAUUUCCUCCAUGAACCAUAGGAUCCUACCUCUUAACCAUUUUAUGAAAAUUCUAUGGUGAAUUGAGGUCCUCAAGUUGUCUGACAAUAUCUGAUUUUGCCACGGUCAUGUGGGAAAAGUAGGCAUGUGAGCAAGUCAUAGUUUUACUUGUUUGGAAGAUUCUUCUAAUUAUGUCAAGAUGAAAGGUUUUAUACUGUGUAGAAGGCAGUGUGAGAGAAGUGGACAGUAGAACUCCUAUUUGGUGGGCCAGUGGCUAUAUUUUAAAAUAUGAAGGAUACAUAUUUGACUGUUUAAGUACAAUGAUCUGCCAUGGAUCUAUACUUUUGGGCUGCUGUCUUUUAGGCUAAAGCAAUUAAAGGCAAUGUAAUGAACAUGGUUAUCUGUGGAUGCCCCUUUGAUUGCCAUUGUAUUAUGCUUUACACUGUGAUGGCUCUCUCUUUGAGGAGAGACGCUGUUCCUCCAGGGAGAUAAAAUAUAAAAUAUGAAUCUUACCCUUAAGCAUAC